rnacentral:piRNA from 1 species
UNCAAUGACCAGAGAGCCCUUCCUUGCC